GGGCCCGUAGCUCAGAGGCAGAGCAUGCGUCUUAAAAACGCGAAAUGUCGCCGGUUCGAAUCCGGUCGGGUCCA
rnacentral:tRNA from 1 species